AAAGUCCGGAAGGGGGGAGGGGCAAAGGCCCAUCAAGUGUCCGGAGCCUCUAGCCAGUUUCGGGGUCUCCGUUGCCGGUCCAGACGCCUCCUGCAGCCUUUUCCCUCCUUAUCGUUUUCGGAUUUUGUUUUUUGGAAAGAAUACAAGAUGGAAGUAUUGGAGGAAAAAGGACCUGCUACAAGGGGAGGGCAAGAAUGUCUGCCGCCCAUAAAGUCCCAUGUUUGAGGCAGGGGGCUGGCUCAGUAAAGAAUUGCCUGAAGCACCCUCAGCAAGAAGUCCCCACAGAUCUCGGUGGUACAGACCCUGAGCCAACCCACCCCUUCUGCAGCACAGCGCUGCCCUGAUCCCCCACCCUGCCCGGUUUGCCAGUCCUGCCUUUGGACUCUCUCUGAGCCAUUCCUGUUCUUUUCCGUUCCAGCAGGCAGCCCCCAGGAUGGCGCCUGUUCUGCCUCCUUGGCCAGCUGCCCCAGGAGGGAACGGAACGUGUGCUCUGCCCCAGCGGUGUUUGCCGUCCUUGCCUGUGGUGCCUGGAAGCUGCUGAAUGUUUUGGCGUAUGAAAAUUUCCUCCUCCUAUGCCAUGAGCACCUUAAACUGGAUUAUUUAACCUCACAAACACCAUCCAAGGGAGAUGACUGGGUCGGCAGAUGACCCCUUCCACCCAGGGCUCCCACCAACCACAGCAUUUAAUAAAGUGCUUUAUUAAAUGUGCGGGCAUUUAAAUGAGCUAGUGCCAUACAAACCACCGCCAGCCAGGAAAGAGCCCGUCGCCCCAGAGGAGAAAUAAAAGCACUUCAUUCCUUUGUGCAUGGGGCUGCUGGCCCACAUCCAGUCCAGCAGCACUGUGGAUACAUUAACCAGCAUAACAGCAAGCAACACCUGGUGCCUGGAGUCCUUCUGGUCCCCAAACACUUCCUUGACCAACACUGCCCUGCCGGUCCUCACAGUCAACCAUCACCCCACACUCCACUGGGCCUCCACAUCUGAAUGAUCUGCACAGAAAUGCCUGACUCCCUCGUAUCCUGCGUGACUGAACAAGAGCCUCACUUUGGGCCGUGCUUAUCUGCAAAACCUGUGCCUUUUAGAAAUCACGAGAACAGAGGAAACACCUUUGGGUGGGGAACUGGUCUACCUUCAGAGGUGCAACUUCUAGGGCCCGGGCAGAAGACGCUAACAACACAAGCAACCACAAGGGGUGGGAGCCCAGGGCUGGGUUGCUCUCGCACACACCCCAGCUUUGCUAAAGGCGUGCAAAGAAGCGGGCUGCACGCUUGGCACAAUUUUCAGAUGCUCUAAGCCUGGGAAAGGCCGUAAUUGCUUGGGAGGAUGAACUAGGAUGCAAACAGUGAGAUGAAAUUACCAGAGCUUGAUGCAAACAUCUGUUUGCCAGAUGUCCCUUAUUUGACAGGAAUGUUGCUUUUUCCUUUUGGACAAAAUAGAGCUCCCUAAAUUGACAACACCAAGUAUUCCGUUCUCUAAUACGCAGUGGGACAGCCCGCCUACUUCUCAUGUGGGCAAGGUUGAUCUCGGCACUCCUAAAAGGGACCCACCAGAGCCGCCUUUUCUAGCGUCCACGUGUACUCUGCAGCUCCCUCUAGAAAGCUGGCCUCAUGCGUACUUCCUGCUCAAACAGUGUGGCAAACAACUCUGAGAAAGCCCACGUGGUGUGGGGGUGGGUGCUGGACUGGCAACCCCAGAGGUGUGGGUCCCACGUCCCCAGUCGCCAUGAUGCUCCAAGGGUGACUUUGGGCCGGGCACUCGCUCCCGGCCCAACCCACCUCACAGGGUGGUUGCCGCACGGACGAAGUGGAGGCACGUAGGCCACCGUGGGUGCCUCACGAGGAGAACUGGCAGGCUGUGAGCACAAUGAGACCACAGUAGCCACAGGGAUACUAGCAACAGAGCUCCACCAGCCCAGCCCUGGGGAAGGGGCGCAGUCAGUGCUACGGAUCCCCAGCAUCCAUCAGUGCAGCCAUGGAAAAACCUGCCUCAUGUGGGGCAGGAGGGGGCUGAAGGAGCAGGACACAGCGAGGCGGGGCGCAGAGGGGACAGGCAGCCCUGCCUGGGCAGCAGUUCCAGUGGAGCAGUUUGGAUGGCAGCCUGCCAGCAGGUGCAGGGAACCUGCUGUCCAAAAGCUCAGAGACAACCGAUCAGUUUCUACGCCUGAUCGUAGCCAAAAGGCCAAGAAGGGUGCCUGCAGUCAGAUCCUGGGGGAGUGCGGUUCUACCGAGCUAGAGGAAAGACAAAGUCUGCGAAUGCCACUUACUCAAGAUGACUGAUACGAACUAUGGUGGCAGUAUAUUGUGUCGAAGUAGUUACUAAUCCAACUGGGGUUUUAUGAAAGAUAACUUUUAAUUUAUUUCCUUCGUUUUAAAAAUCUAUUUCUUUAUUUAUUUGAAUUGAGCUGGUCUUUGACCAUAAUAAUAAAGUUUUGUUUAUCUAACUGA